rnacentral:lncRNA from 1 species
UGACUGGUGGCAUUCGGGAAGAGUAAAGCACCCUGUGCCGAGGGACAGUGGGAAGAAAGCGCUCUACGCUUGUUUUCAAAACCACUGGUUCUCUUACUGGCUGAGGCCAUGCCUGUGACACGCCCCUCUCACUACUCUACACGUGACCGCUUCUAAUACCACGGGCAUGUGAUGAUGGAGCACAGUACUGUAGUAGGAGAGCUGCAGGAAUCAUCCGGUGCUGAUGUAGGAAAUACUGGAAUUAGGACUUUUUAACAUGCAGUUUUUACUGUAACCUUAAUAACUUAUUUAUCAAAGUAGCUACAGAAAGCUCAAGUGAAUGAUGGCAAAACACUGAAUUUGUUUGGGUGUUAACAUUAAAUGGUGCUACAAAAAACGGUGUUUUUAAAUAGCUGAAAAAAAUGCCUUUUAUCAUGCAGCCGGUGUAGUCUAGGGCCCCUGAGGAACUGGGGCGCCUUUGAUUCACAUUUCUAUCUUAAUUAUUACUCAGCUUAGUUUUUCAAAUGUAGACAUCUUAAAGGCCUCUGGAUUGAUUGUCAUUGUCCAUCGAUGUCCUUGUAGGACUAUAAACAAUGUGUGCACAUACACACCUACACAUGUGUACUGAAAUGUUUUAAGUGGUGUCUUAGAAGCACUUUGCUUACCUAAGCUUCGGCGACUUGAGCAAUGCUAAGGUACUGAAACUUAAAAAAAAAGCAAAAAAAAAAAAAAA